UUUUACAACUACAUUGAUUGAUUCAGCUAAAAUAACUAGCAAGUCAUUAGUAUUUUAUUAUUGAGUAUUGACACUUUAGUUUUUACAGCUAAAAUAACUGAACUACUAUUGACAAAUAAUUUGUUUAUAUAAUAGAUGGAAAUUUGAUGUAAAUUAGUACGUUAUAAUUGAUAUCCUUUUCAUAGAUAAAACAUAAUGAUAUGUGUUUGGGGCUUGUUUCUUUAUACAGAUUCUUUAAACAUAUCGAACAAAAAGAUAGAUUAACAAACCUUAUCAUUUUGAGUACUAAAUCAGAAACCCAUUGGAAUAUAAAAUAAUACAUGUUCACAGAUUAUGAUGAAGAAUCUAUAUAUAUAUAUAAAUGUAUGCCUCCCUCCUGUGCUGCCACCUAGGAUCCAGGUCAGAAAGUCGCUGCUUGAGGAGACGACACGUGUCCUUUUCAUCAAACCGCACAGCUUCAUUUAACUUAGAAUACAAUUGAUAUGGGCUUUGUGUAUGGGCUUACGCAAGCCCUAAACCGUAGUCUUCUCUCCUCUCCCUUCGUCCAAUCCAACCUCCCUCCGCUUCCGCCGUCUUCCUCCUCCACCUCCCAGAAAGUGACGCCCGUUCCAGCCCCUCUAUCGCUUCCGCCGGCAGGUAACUUCGGCAGCUUGAAGGUUCGAGGACGAUCGGGGGAGCGGGUUCGAGUCUCCACCGCACACGUUGACGGAGCCGGUGUGGGAUUUGGUGUGAGCCAGUAAUCUGAAGCUGGUGGUAUUUCCAAAUCCGAAUAGGGAGGAUCUUGGGAAGACGCUUAGGGAUUGGGAUCAGUGGGACCGUUUUUCUUCAAGCCAGCCGAAUCUUCCUUGAGAACCUUGGUAUCAAGCCAGCCGAAUCGCCCUCGAGAUUCAUCUAUCUGAAUUGAAGGCGGGACAGUGCAGGUAGCGUGUUGAGGCAAGGCUUUUGCGUUUCUGGGAAUCCCGAAAAGUUAAGAAGCACUGCUGAUAGUUUUGUACAAACACUUGAGAUUCGCAUUUUGGUGACAAAGGUCUAUACUUUUUCGGAUUCGGUUCUUGAUCUGAUUAUAUUUGAUGUUUUUUUCUCACAUAGGAAGUGAUUCGAGGGACAAAGGGAUGAGAAUUUUCCUCAAGAAGGUGUGGUCUGUGGUGGAGCUUUGUCGUACGGAAGUUACGAUCUACAAGGUUCCUUGAGAGUUCAUCAUCACAACCCCAAUUCUAAACCGCUUGAAGGUCUUCCCUUUACUGUGGUUACAACUCAAACAUGUAAUCACAACAUGCCAUUGACUAAGCAACAUAAAGGAGAAAGAGAGAAUAACUCAGUGAGUUAUGAUCAUGAACCAAGUUUCAGUGAGGAAGGUGGUGAUGGUCACAAUGAAUCCAUCAGCUAAAAAGUCUCCAUGGCAGUGAUGAAGUUGACUGAUAAGAUGUUGAAGUUGUUGAUAACUGACGUGCCUUAUAUGUGAUGAUUCGAGUAUGGAUGGUGGUAGUAGAAGAAAGCUUGUGGCUUUACAAAGAAAGAGAAAAUGGAAAUUUGUUUCUGAAGUUCUGUUUGAGAGAGGUUUAAGAAGCUUAAUGACAAUAGAUUGAAUCUGCAUCAUAACCUUGCUCUGCAGCAUUCGGUAAAGCUAGCGUUUAGAACAUAGAUGAUCAAGAGAAUGAUGAUUUUAGGAAUCAUCAACUUGAAAGACGCACAAAUAGAAAAAAUAGACAAAAUCCAAUAUCUGA